GCAUCGGUGAUGUACUAGAAGCAUGCACCCUUCCCCCCCCCCCCCCUUUCCGUAUGGGUGAGGCGCGGGUUCAAUUCCCGCCUGAUGUCA